rnacentral:tRNA from 1 species
GGGCAGAUGGCCGAGUGGUCUAAGGCGCUAGUUUUAGGUUCUCCUGAAGAUCAAAUCACUAGUCUUCGGGCGUGGGUUCAAAUCCCACUCUGCUCA